rnacentral:ribozyme from 1 species
AUUAGAGUACGAUAAUAAUGAAGAAAGAGCGAACGUAAUAAUUGCCAAUAAUCGCCUAAUUGCCUUCUCAUUUCAUUUCUAUUUUCUGUUAUAUCUCUAAAUCUCUUCUUUUUUUCGCAGUUAGUGUCAAU